GCCCCCAUCGUCUAGAGGCCUAGGACACCUCUCUUUCACAGAGGCGACGGGGAUUCGAAUUCCCCUGGGGGUA
rnacentral:tRNA from 9 species